GACGGAAGGUGCAAGCGUUGCUCGGAAUCACUGGGCGUAAAGGGUGCGUAGGCGGCCGUGUAAGUCUGGCGUGAAAGCCCGGGGCUUAACCCCGGAAUUGCACCUCAAACUACAUGGCUAGAGCAUUGGAGAGGGUAGCAGAAUUCAUGGUGUAGCAGUGAAAUGCGUAGAUAUCAUGAGGAAUACCAGAGGCGAAGGCGGCUACCUGGACAAUUGCUGACGCUCAGGCACGAAAGCGUGGGGAGCAAAAGGG
rnacentral:rRNA from 1 species